GGAUUUCCGUUCCCAUCACGUAGCCGGCAGUAGGAUAUCAAGGCUAGGAAGGGCACCAAAUGACCGGGGGAGAGCUGAUCCAUCGCCGGCAACCCGAUCCUCUUCCACCUCUGGCCACAAGGGCAAGAGAUGCUGAUCCACCGCUGCUUCCCUUUCUUUCUCCUGAUCACCGAGAGCUCUUCUUGUUCCUGAUUUCCAGCCAAUCUUUGCUUUGCUUGGUGACACCAUUGCCGAUCGUGAUUGAGAGAAGAGGGCAACCCGUAAGAGGAGAUCUUGAUUUUCUCGCAAUAGCAUCCGGGAUCUUCAUCGGGUGGUUGUAGAUUUGGGUAUGGAUCCAAUGUGCAUUGCUGCAACCUGUGGAUUUUUCACUAAAUUGCUGUGGAUCAGAUUAAGGUUAGAAGGUGAUGGGGAUGUGGGCAGCAGUAAGCAUCACACCCGUGAUUUUCAACAGUGGGUUGUUUCGUUCACAAGGAGCACUUCGAAUGAGGAUCCGAGUUGGAUGUGAUCUUCUGGAGUUGUUGAAGACGGUUGACACGCACUACGUAUAAAGGCGGGUAUUUCUUGCUCUAUCUCUUUAGCACAUUGAUCUUAGUGCAUGAGCUAUAUGUUUAGUUG